CCUACGGGAGGCAGCAGUGGGGAAUAUUGGGCAAUGGAGGAAACUCUGACCCAGCGACGCCGCGUGCGGGAUGAAGGCCUUCGGGUUGUAAACCGCUUUCAGUAGGGAAGAAGCGAAAGUGACGGUACCUACAAAAGAAGCACCGGCUAACUAUGUGCCAGCAGCCGCGGUAAUACAUAGGGUGCAAGCGUUGUCCGGAAUUAUUGGGCGUAAAGAGCUCGUAGGUCGUUUGUUACGUCGGAUGUGAAAACCUGAGGCUCAACCUUAGGCCUGCAUUCGAUACGGGCAAACUAGAGUUUGGUAGGGGAGGCUGGAAUUCCUGGUGUAGCGGUGGAAUGCGCAGAUAUCAGGAGGAACACCAAUGGCGAAGGCAGGUCUCUGGGCCAAUACUGACACUGAGGAGCGAAAGUCUGGGGAGCGAACAGGAUUAGAUACCCUGGUAGUCCAGACCGUAAACGGUGGGCACUAGUUGUGGGAACCUUCCACGGUUUCUGCGACGCAGCUAACGCAUUAAGUGCCCCGCCUGGGGAGUACGAUCGCAAGAUUAAAACUCAAAGGAAUUGACGG
rnacentral:rRNA from 1 species